CCCACCGUGGCCAGGCAUAAUUUUCAAGCCUGCUUGGUGUGGAUAUACACUCAGAGUAACAUCACAAGCAAGUCAAAUUAUAUUAUUUUUAGACCACGGCAAAAGAGACUAAUUACUAGUUUGCCGCUGUAUAUACUGAUCAUGAACUACAUCGCACAGAUCAUGUAGUUUUUCUUGGAGUGUUCCUGGAUGAACACUUGUCUUGGUCACUUUACAUUUCGCUUAUUGCUAGUAAAAUUUCUCGAUCGGUUGGUAUCAUAUAUCGAGCAAGUUUUUGCCUCACCAAGGUAGCUCUACGUGCACUAUACUAUGCACUUGUCUAUCUUUAUUUACAAUAUUGUGUAACAGUGUGGGGUUCAACAUACCCUUAUAAAUUAAAUCG